rnacentral:rRNA from 1 species
CCGGCGACCGGCGCACGGGUGAGUAACACGUAUGCAACCUGCCCUCUUCAGGGGGACAACCUUCCGAAAGGGAGGCUAAUCCCGCGUAUAUCGGUUUCGGGCAUCCGAGAUCGAGGAAAGAUUCNUCGGAAGAGGAUGGGCAUGCGGCGCAUUAGCUAGACGGCGGGGUAACGGCCCACCGUGGCGACGAUGCGUAGGGGUUCUGAGAGGAAGGUCCCCCACACUGGUACUGAGACACGGACCAGACUCCUACGGGAGGCAGCAG